GGGGAUUCACUGUUAUACUUGGAGGCCAUGUCACCUGAGAGUCAAUGGGCAACGAUCAAAUUUCACCUUGAGCAGAUUCUUUUGUUUGCUUUUUAGUCACAAAUAGCUUGGCCCUAAGUGGUGGCUCCCAUUCUUGUAAGAUGCGUUUAUUCAUCGUGUAAUCACCAGUUCCCUGUAGUGGGGGCGUGGAUGGAGUGUCAGAGGCUCCUGCUGGUCUUUAGGGUGUCUGGCCUCCAGGAAUCCUAGAGGUAGUAUUUGGAGAGAUUUUUAAAAGCUUUGUUUCUGUGACCAGCAAAACCUGGAUUUGACACUGAGGUCAGCCCGUUUCAGCCAGUGACGUAACCUGUCUUUUUGCCCCAGUAAAUUGGGAACUACAGCACUCGAUGUUAGAGUUGUCGUGAAGAUUAAAGAAGGUGACGACUGGACAACUCCCAGCCCAAUACCUGAAACUGUACCAGCACCCAGUGAGCACUGCUAUUCCUGUGACUGCUGCACAUUUGCCUUAUCUCAGCAGUAUGCCUGUGUCACUUUUUUGGCACUCUUUUCUCAUGGGUACAUUCAGAGAAGAGGAAUGUUUGUUCACUGGUGAAGAGAACAUCCCGUGUACUAUCGUGUAGAAGUUGUAGUAGACGCUGUGGUCUUUCCAACAACAAACAAAUGGGCAAGUCUAUGCAAACCUGUCCCCAAAGUCCAAGGAGGCUGAGAGGCCAAAGAAAGAGGCUGGCAAAUCCAGUCUCUUAAAAAGAAACAUUUAACAGUGUCUUACAAACAGAAGCCACGUCUGUGUCUUAGGGGACUAGACAAGAGAAUGGAUCCCCGCCAUUAGCCCCAGACCUGGAGCUCAUGUACCAGGGAAAGGGUGGUUCAGAAGAGACAUGCAGGACAACUGAAGUAUGACAACAUCACAGUUGUUUGACCUACAGGCAGGAUUUAUGCUAAGUGCCUGCUCUAACACAAGGAACAAUCGAUAAACUGAAAAUCUUGGAGGCCUUCCUGGAACUGGGGUUCAUCAAAGCCAACAUGGGAGAUUAGCUUCCAAGACAGAGUCUCUUGGCCUUAGUGGUGCUGCCUGCAGCAUUCUAGCACCCACCUCCACAUAAAAGCGAGAGGUGGUUCCCAUUUAUAUCGGAGUCUUGGAAGGAUCCAUACAUUUCAUGCAGGGAUGUCAGUCACGGCCAGCUGAUACACUUAUACAACAUUACUGAGACCAUAACUUUACAGUUUUUGUUCUUUCAAUGUAUCUCAAGGCCUGAUUCUGAGAAAUAAUACUGCUGGGGAAUUGUACAAAUGAUAUGCAUUUCAUUCUUCUGUUCUUCACUGCAUAAAAGAAACAAACUGUGAACUCGGACUUUAUCUGCCUGACCCCAGAUGGAGGAGCUUGUACUGCCUUGUCAUUAGUGUUGGGCUCUUGACUUACAUGGAGGGGUGCAUUUCGACAUGCCGCAGAAAGGUUUCCCAGGACGGGCAAUCAGAGGAGGUUUGUCAUCUGCUCAUCACCCAGUAUCUUCCUUAUUAAUAAUACUCAAGAGGGAAUUUUGUCUGAAUACUUCAGAGCUGGUCGUGGGGAUUGGGGGAGGUAAAAACAACAGAAAAUAAAGUUUCAUUCAAAAAUUUAA
ensembl:lncRNA LINC02669 long intergenic non-protein coding RNA 2669